CCUACGUGAGGCUGCAGUGGGGAAUAUUGGACAAUGGGCGAAAGCCUGAUCCAGCCAUGCCGCGUGUGUGAAGAAGGCCUUCGGGUUGUAAAGCACUUUCAGUGGGGAAGAAAGCCUUGGGGCUAAUACCCUCGAGGAAGGACAUCACCCACAGAAGAAGCACCGGCUAACUCCGUGCCAGCAGCCGCGGUAAUACGGAGGGUGCGAGCGUUAAUCGGAAUUACUGGGCGUAAAGCGCGCGUAGGCGGUCUGAUAAGCCGGUUGUGAAAGCCCCGGGCUCAACCUGGGAACGGCAGCCGGAACUGUCAGGCUAGAGUGCAGGAGAGGAAGGUAGAAUUCCCGGUGUAGCGGUGAAAUGCGUAGAGAUCGGGAGGAAUACCAGUGGCGAAGGCGGCCUUCUGGACUGACACUGACGCUGAGGUGCGAAAGCGUGGGUAGCAAACAGGAUUAGAUACCCUUGUAGUC
rnacentral:rRNA from 1 species